rnacentral:rRNA from 1 species
UGCGUAGGCGGCCUGGUAAGUCUGGCGUGAAAGCCCAGGGCUCAGCCCUGGAAGUGCGCUAGAAACUGCGAGGCUGGAGUGCCGGAGGGGAGAGUGGAAUUCCUGGUGUAGCGGUGAAAUGCGUAGAUAUCAGGAGGAAUACCGGUGGCGAAAGCGACUCUCUGGACGGCAACUGACGCUGAGGCACGAAAGCGUGGGGGAGCAAACA